rnacentral:rRNA from 1 species
GAUGAACGCUGGCGGCGUGCCUAAUACAUGCAAGUCGAGCGAACGGGCGAGAAGCUUGCUUCUCUGAUGUUAGCGGCGGACGGGUGAGUAACACGUGGAUAACCUACCUAUAAGACUGGGAUAACUUCGGGAAACCGGAGCUAAUACCGGAUAAUAUUUUGAACCGCAUGGUUCAAAAGUGAAAGACGGUCUUGCUGUCACUUAUAGAUGGAUCCGCGCUGCAUUAGCUAGUUGGUAAGGUAACGGCUUACCAAGGCAACGAUGCAUAGCCGACCUGAGAGGGUGAUCGGCCACACUGGAACUGAGACACGGUCCAGACUCCUACGGGAGGCAGCAGUAGGGAAUCUUCCGCAAUGGGCGAAAGCCUGACGGAGCAACGCCGCGUGAGUGAUGAAGGUCUUCGGAUCGUAAAACUCUGUUAUUAGGGAAGAACAUAUGUGUAAGUAACUGUGCACAUCUUGACGGUACCUAAUCAGAAAGCCACGGCGAACUACGU